UAUUCUGGUGUCCUAGGCGUAGAGGAACUACACCAUCCUCCAACUUGGUGGUUAAACUCUACUGCGGUGACGAUACUUUAGGGGGGACUCUACGGGAAAAUAGCUCAACGCCAGAUA
rnacentral:rRNA from 1 species